rnacentral:rRNA from 1 species
UAGGGAAUCUUCGGCAAUGGACGAAAGUCUGACCGAGCAACGCCGCGCGAGUGAAGAAGGUUUUCGGAUCGUAAAACUCUGUUGUUAGAGAAGAACAAGGACGUUAGUAACUGAACGUCCCCUGACGGUAUCUAACCAGAAAGCCACGGCUAACUACGUGCCAGCAGCCGCGGUAAUACGUAGGUGGCAAGCGUUGUCCGGAUUUAUUGGGCGUAAAGCGAGCGCAGGCGGUUUCUUAAGUCUGAUGUGAAAGCCCCCGGCUCAACCGGGGAGGGUCAUUGGAAACUGGGAGACUUGAGGGCAGAAGAGGGGAGUGGAAUUCCAUGUGUAGCGGUGAAAUGCGUAGAUAUAUGGAGGAACACCAGUGGCGAAGGCGGCUCUCUGGUCUGUAACUGUCGCUGAGGCUCGAAAGCGUGGGGAGCAAACAGG